rnacentral:lncRNA from 1 species
AGAUCCAAAUCAAUAACGAGUAACAGAAGAUGCUAUACAGUAUCGUGAAGCUGCAAUAAUAUAAUGACUUCAGUUCUGGUGCGGUUCAGUUCAUUAAAAUCGUGUCUUACUCGGUAUAUUACACGUAAAAGACAAGUUAACAUGAGCAAUCGAUGCAGAAUGCAACAGUCAAGUAAUGCACAAGCACAAGGCUGGAAUUUGACGACAAACAAAGAAACAAAAAGUAAACAAAGGACAAGAAGAUUACCGGGUCAAUCCACAAGAUCAGUGGCACCAUUUCAUGCUGGUUGGAAAAUUGUUGACAAUUCAGGGGCGGAGGCAAGAGAGUAGAGUUGUGGGGGCAAAUUUCACAAAAUUUUAAUUGUGAAGGCAAAAUUGAAAAUUAUAAAGAAAUUUUUUGGAAAAUCUUGUGUAAAAUCUUGAAAAAUCUACUGCAAAAUCUUGGAUUUCAAAUUUAGUGUACAGACCCCACUGCCCCCACUGAUCCACCCUUGGCUGGCUUAAAACUACUGGUAACAAAAACGGCACAUAUAGAAGCAAAUUAUGUAUGUAUUUGCUCUGAACUCUGUACAUGAGGAAACCUUUAUUAUAUCAACUAUUUCCAGCAGGAUGAGAACUCGACAGUCUAUGGAUGACAUAGAGAUUGUUCAUUUUCUCUCUUUCUUGUCAGUCUUCUA